AGCGAACGCUGGCGGCAGGCCUAACACAUGCAAGUCGAGCGGCCGUAGCAAUACGGCAGCGGCAGACGGGAGAGUAACACGUGGGAACGCGCACUUCGGUUCGGGAUAACUCAGGGAAACUUGGGCUAAUACCGGAUACGCCCUUAUGGGGAAAGAUUUAUUGCCGAAGGAACGGCCCGCGUCCGAUUAGCUUGUCGGUGAGGUAACGGCUCACCAAGGCGACGAUCGGUAGCUGGUCUGAGAGGAUGACCAGACUCACUGGGACUGAGACACGGCCCAGACUCCUACGGGAGGCAGCAGUGGGGAAUAUUGGACAAUGGGCGCAAGCCUGAUCCAGCCAUGCCGCGUGGGUGAUGAAGGCCCUAGGGUUGUAAAGCCCUUUCAGCGGGGAAGAUAAUGACGGUACCCGCAGAAGAAGCCCCGGCUAACUUCGUGCCAGCCGCCGCAGUAAUAC
rnacentral:rRNA from 1 species